GAAACUAACAAGGAUUCCCCUAGUAACGGCGAGCGAAGCGGGAAGAGCUCAAAUUUGAAAUCUGGUGGCCUCAGGUCAUCCGAGUUGUAAUCUAUAGAAGUGUUUUCCGUGCUGGCCCAUGUACAAGUCCCUUGGAACAGGGCGUCAUAGAGGGUGAGAAUCCCGUCCUUGACAUGGACUACCAGUGCUCUGUGAUACACUUUCAACGAGUCGAGUUGUUUGGGAAUGCAGCUCAAAAUGGGUGGUAAAUUCCAUCUAAAGCUAAAUAUUGGCGAGAGACCGAUAGCGAACAAGUACCGUGAGGGAAAGAUGAAAAGCACUUUGGAAAGAGAGUUAAACAGUAUGUGAAAUUGUUGAAAGGGAAACGAUUGAAGUCAGUCGUGCUCAAUGGACUCAGCCGUUCUGCGGUGUAUUUCCAUUGGGUGGGGUCAACAUCAGUUUUGAUCGCUGGAUAAAGGCAGGAGGAAUGUAGCACCCCCGGGUGAACUUAUAGCCUCUUGUCACAUACAGUGGUUGGGACUGAGGAACGCAGCAUGCCUUUAUGGCCGGGAUUCGUCCACGUAC
rnacentral:rRNA from 1 species